GGCGCGAGCGCUGCCCUGACGUCAGUGUGGCCGCGGCCCCUGCCCGUCCGGGCGGCUCUCAUCAGUCCCUCGAGUGAGCUGCAGGAAUCCGUCCCCACGCCCUUCUCCUUUAAAGGACAACGGGCAGAGGGUGGGGCGGGCUGCUGGGCCCCGCGAUCCAUUCAGAUAAGGGAACUGAAGUACAAGGGGCCACAGGCCAAUCUUGACCUCUGUGUACCUAAGAUGCAUCUAUAUGUACUGGACAUCAGGACGUGAGUUCUUCCAUUUUGGGAUACAUCUUCCAUUUCCAGAAGAAUAGAACCCCACAGCUAGACCUUGAAAAGAAGAAAUAUAACACAGCAUUGGUUAUCAGAUGUCAUUGUGCCAUCAAAACAAACUGAAGAACUCAUAAAAGUACAGAUUCCUGGGUGCCACCCUCAGAGAAUCUUGUUCAAUGAACCUGGAAUGGAGAGAGUGAGACCAUGUUUCCAUUCUUAUUGUACAACACAUCUGGAAAAUAAGAAAAAUGAGCCAGUCUCCUACCAGAUACCCAGCACAUAACACAUUCUUAAUAAGAUGUCAAUUAAUGAACAUCAAAACAUCUGGAUGAGGGGAUAAUUUGUUUCAUCUUGCUCCAGAUAUUGGCUAUUAUGUUUGCAGAGCUGGCACACCCAGUGCUGGGUCAAUGUGAUUCAAAACUGAGAGGACCCCCAGUGAAAAUUUCCGUCCAGUUUUUUUCCAUGUAAGGAGCCUAGGAAGCCCCCUUCCUCCCAGAUUGGGUCUCAGAGCCAUGCUUCAAGAAUCAGAAAAUCCUCAAGAAUCAUCUAGCCUUCCUUACUCUUCAAUGCUAUUCUUCUCUGAACAUUGAGGUCCUAGAUGCAGACAUUGCUGAAUGCAAGGAGGCUGGAGGCCCUGGAGUAGUCCCUGUAUCUCAGGUUCAGGGAACCUUUGGAACCACUCCUUAUCUGGAGAUUUUGGAAACUGAAGCUUCCAGUGGGCCAGUGAAAGCAAGAAAAUAACGGCACAAGGUCCAGAAUCCAGAAGACCGCCCUGGACACUUAGGGGUGAGUUAUUUUAUGUGACCAGCCAAAUGAACUUUUAAAAUUCUGGGAAGGUAAGGCAGAGCUGUAAAAACCUAUCACAGACUCACUCUCUUUUCAUAACUGCUGUGUGACUUCAUCUAGGAGACAUCACUGUGAGCCUUUCCUCCUCUCUAAAGGGGGAAUGGUAAUAUUUACUCUGAAGGAGAUUUAUGAGGACUGAAUGAGAUUAUAGAUAAUAAAGUAUGUUGGACAAUGUUUUCACAGUAGACACUCAAAGAACUUCACUGUGACUUUGUGAAUACAAAAGAACUUCACUGUGAUUUUGUGAUUUUGUGAUUUUGUGAUACAGCCAUGGUGGCUUGUAUACCACUAGGAUAAUUCCCUUGCUUCUUCAUCUCUGACAUCCUAUGUCUUGAGCAUUUGUGUGUACACUCUAGAAUUUUCCUCUAGAUUUUCUUUGUCUCCUGUGCUUGGCCCCACAAAAUGUACGUUUUGGAGGACAGCAUCUUAUAUCUGUAUUUCAUUCUUCUAUUGGCAGUGUGGAGGAAGAGCCGCUUUAAAAUCCCAUUGAGCUCACUAAAGGGAUAGCAGGAAGGAGGAACGAGGGUCUGGGGGUGCCUGCUGGCACUAGACAUAGAAAGAAACUUUGCCUUCUCUACGAUUUGUGUUAGCAUCCUCUACGUUGGCUUCUUUUCAGCCUUUUACACAAAUACUAUACCAAAUAACACCAGCGUGUCCAGAAUAAUUUCCAGAACUAGAAUCAACUCAGUUAUGUUAAUUUUGUCAUAUGUGGAACUAACAUGACAAUAACUCUGUGAGCUAAUUAUUUUGUAGAUAAGGAAAAAAAAAGGUUGAUAAUUCAGUUUGAGGAACUUAUGUGAGGUCACACCUAUGGCCAGAGUUGGAGGUGAGAUUUAAAUCCUGCAGGUGACUUCCAAAUCCCUUCCUUACAUGUAACCACAAAGCUCUACUGCUCAGGGCCAAAUGAGGGUACCACAGGAAGCACCUUGAGAUUUUUAUCCCUAGUAGACUAUAUAUGAUCAUAUUUAUCAAAAAAAAACCCAAAAACCCUUGCAUUCCUAAUAUACGUUUUCACUUUUUGGUUAUUUCCCAAGAGAAAUGAGGUAGAAAGAUUUCCAUUUUAUUAAUGAGUUUAUGUGAUUUAUCCAAGGUCACCUAUUUAGCUAUCAGUGGAGCCAGGACUGUAACCGAAUACCCUGACACUUUUGACUGUACUUUAUAUUUCUCAGUUCUCUUUUUCAAAGCACUUUUCCGAGUCUCAGGAUCUUUGUGUUGUGUUUCUGUGGCUUCCAGCUGGGAGAUGGUAUACCUUCAGAGCAGAUAGAUGGAAAGGAGGAACCCUGUCCUAUGGAGCUGCAUCUCCUCUCCACUCCAGAGAGCCCCAUCCAUCAGUUUGUCACUGCAGAGACCCAGCCGAUGCAUGCCCAGGAAGGCAAAGGAUAUAUAAAUAUAAUGGAAAUCAGUCAGGGGCCAAUUUUCCCCACUGAAAAGGGAAUUGCAUUUCUCAGGCAUGUGGGCAAAGAGAGGUUGAUUAAACAUAAAGCAUUUCCACAAAGGGGUAGCAUAAAGGAGAACUCAAUCCCCGCAUGUUUUGAGAAUUCUCCCACACUAAACCCAAUUGAGUGCCAUCUGUGCUUCUGAUAAUUUCAUCUGACUGCCUAUCUUGUUAUGGGGUUGCUGAUUUGAGCAACUUGAAGGCAUUUACAUGACCCGUGUUGCAUGAUCUGAUCUGUCACAAGAUUCUGAAGUUUCCAGAACAGGAUGUAAAUUGUGAAGUCAUCCAAGAAGUAGCAGAGUGGUUCAUCCUGUACUUGGUAAUGUCACUGGAUUUUGACAGAGUUCAGUAGUUUCUUUUAAA